rnacentral:rRNA from 1 species
UACGUAGGGGGCAAGCGUUGUCCGGAUUUAUUGGGCGUAAAGAGCGUGUAGGCGGUCAGGUAGAUCCGUUGUGAAAACUCGAGGCUCAACCUCGAGACGCCGAUGGAAACCAUCUGACUAGAGUCCGGAAGAGGAGAGUGGAAUUCCUGGUGUAGCGGUGAAAUGCGCAGAUAUCAGGAAGAACACCCGUGGCUAAGGCGGCUCUCUAGUACGGUACUGACGCUGAGACGGCGAAAGCGUGGGGAGCGAACAGG